CGUCCUCCCGGUCGCCGUGGUCCCCGUGAGCGGGUCCCGCCAACGGGAAUCAAUUCUCGGCGGGGCGGUGAGCCGAUAAAAGCGGGGCGGCGGCGUCUCUCGACGGCUGAAGGUGAGGUGAGGAAAAGUAAGUUACGGAGUAGAAAAGUCUGGGCUACUUCCCAUUCCCCCUUUGCCGUCCAUCUCCUUCCUUUGUUUUGGUGGUCAGCAUUUUCCUUCCAUGCCCUCUCCCCUGAUGUGGGUUGGCCGCCUGCCGUUCUUGCGCGGGUGAUGCUGACGUUGAAAGCCGGGUUCAAGGAUUUAGGAGGGUUGGAUGCGAGCGCCCAUCUCCUUGGAUAUUGGUGCAGCAGAUGUACAUCCAUCUCUCUGUGCUGCAAAGUUACUAUUGCGGGCAUCUGUUGUAAGAGUUGACACUUGACAGGUUGUUCGGAGUUCUGUGCCCGGCUAAAGAAGCUACGGAAUCAGCUUUUAAGGAUGGAAAACAGCUAUUGAUAUGAUGCCAUUGGCCAGCAUGCAGUUCCAGUACCUUAUGGUUGAGGAAAAGUUAUAUAGAGAUCUAUCCAGAUAUGAUGCCACUGCAAAUGCUCAUGUGCAAAAUUUACUCUGUUUCGCAUUGCACUAUCAUCAUUGUCACUCCAUGAGUAUUAGUUGAGGAAAGUGGGGUUUGGAACUCUAGCAGAGCAACUGAAGAAAAGUGGUGUUUCAGCUUUAGUUGUAUUCUACAAGAGUUUGGGUGGGUAAAUUUGGCUUUCCUUUCUUGUCCCUGUGAAGCCCCUUCGAUGCCACGUCUUCCAUUAUCUGCCAGCGCAACCUCGGGCUCCCCUCGUUGCCUGUGGUAAGUAAUCUCUUUCUUUAUGACGAUGCAGGUUGUCUGUUUUUUCAGUUUUUAGUUUUGCUCCAGGUUGUCCUCUCAAUGCUUCCCUUGGUUGCUCUUAGGCGAGGCCUUCACGCCCCAAGUAUUAUGUGUUCUCUCACUCCAGCCUUUUUGUUUGCUCAAGUAAACUUUGUCUUUCAUUUCCUUGUCGUGCGAGACUUCAUGGCCUUUCAUUCUCCGCUCAUAUUUUUUCCUCCUGUUCCUUCUACAGCCAGGUCUGCAUUUUUCGCUCAUCUUUUGUUCUUUAUUCAACAUUCUUCUGUAAAUUUUCCCCAGUUCUGAAUGUUACUCCAUGGUUAGCUUAACGUUUCUUCACCAUUAUGUAUGAGCAUGCCCAUUAUCCUCUUAAACCUUGCUAAACUACCCACCCACCCAACAGCUUUUAGUGACGGGCGAACCCAGAUCGUUAUAUUUACCUCUUGAUUGUUUCUUCAUCAUUUGUUUCUAUUUCGUUGGUUUAUCUGUUCAUUUUUUUGUAAAGUGGCUUACCACUGUGACCUGUUUUUAUUACCAGAGUAGCUGAUCUUCCUCUCGACUGAAAUUAUUCCUUUCGUAUAUGCCGGUUUUUAGUUAUAUAUGUAUAGUUGUGUUUAAACAUAAAGGAAUGACAAGAAGCUAUAUAUUUUCCUUGGUUGUAGUCAUUAUUCUACAUGGUGCAGAAUGCCACCGCUGCUCAGGGUCACGCGAGUCAUUCUGGGGUAUGCACAACAGUGCUGGUCAUCGAUGUGCUAUAUCACAGAUCCUCCUCUUGCAUUUGUUAAACUGGCUCACGGUGUCCAUAGCCUUAUUAAACAUGCAGAAAUUACAUAUUGGAAAUUAAGUAAGGAUCAUGUACUUUUUUAUAUAUCUAUAAUUGAUUGGGUGAACUUGUUUUUCUUUGUCUCUGCUUGUCUGUAUAAUUUGUAAAUAGUAACUUUUGUUAGCAUUUGAGGAAUUCACAUUUAUAUUUUAUACCUGCAUUACUUGCCAAUUGCCAGUGUACAAUAGAUUAGUUCAGAACUUGGGUCAUAUUCAGUUCCAAUUGUAUUUCUCAUUGAUCGAUGGUUUGUUCGCUGCUGCAAGAUCGAACUCAUUGAUCGAUGGAUUUUGUUGCUCAUUUGAUAGUUCUGGACUUCUCAUGUAGUUCGCAUCUACUUCAUACUCAUUUAGUUCAUAUUUGUUUAUUGUAGUACCUCUGCCUCUUGCCAAAUGAUACAAAGUGGGUAAUUCUUCGACGAUCAUAGUAAUACCAAGUGGCUAUAUGCUUUUUAUCUGUUAAACAUGUUUUAAGAGAAGAUUCAGGCGACGGUUGGAGGACUAGGGAAAGCGGUGCUCAUGAAGGGGACAGCAACAACGAUGGCCAUGGGGAAAGGGAGAGAGGCCAGUUGGAGACAACGACGACGACGGUGGCCGAAUCGGAGCACAUCACCAUCUCCUUCCUCCUGCAUCUUCCCACGUGAGUUCCUUUUUCCAAUAUCUUCCUCCGAUUUGGUUUCUUUUCUUUUUCCCUAUAAGGUUUGGGGUGUAGCCUGUAGAUUCUAACACCGAUGUGGGAGAGAGGCCACACACCUCCGCUGCACGGCUUCGAGCCCUGGCGUUGACUGUGGAGAUCGAAGGCGAGCCUCCAUCUUCGUUUUUCCACCCGCCAAACUGAGGCGGACCUGCAAGCAUGAGCUGCUUCUGCUGAUUCGUACGUGUGAUGUAGGUUCUAGAUGCCUAAUUCGUGGUUAUGAUGUUUCAGGAUGAGGGAGGACUCUACAUAGACCUGCAUUUUUAAGGAUUUUAUUAUUCAUAAUUACUUGAUUACUUUAUGAUUAUGUUCGAAUACUUGUACAUUCCAGUCUUAGUUAGCCUAGAUUAAUUAUUUUCAUGUCUUUCUGUCGGUUUAUCAGGAUUAUUCCACAUGCCUGGAAGCUCCACCAUCGGCUGAUCUUCAAGCUCUGUGCGCUGCAGUCCCCUCAUCUGCUCGUCUACGUCUGCUCGAGUUUCUCCAAUCUUGAUUUCUGAUUUGAGCAUGAAGUGUGGAGAUGGAUCCUGGAAGAUUCAUUGGUAAGCACGAAAGCCUGUAGGACCAAAAUAUUGGUUUGUGAUUCCAUUAUGGAAACUUUGGAGAUGGAGGGUGUCGUCAAUAAUAUCAUCCAGCCAUGUAGUGCAUUGGAAGCUUUGAAGCUUGUCUCUGCCUGCAGCAGAAGUGUGUCAAAUUAUCUCACGUUUGCCAGAAAAACAAUUUGAUCACUUCUUGUAAGCCAUAUGGUCAAAUUUGUUUCCCAACUUUAGCCACUGAAACUAUCUUUGCUGUUGGAGACAAGAUCCAUAUCUGAUUGUGAGCGAAAUAUCAGUUCGUGCUGCUCCUGUAAAGUAUCAACUCAUCUGUACAUCCUCCUUGCUCAGGCAUAUGUUAAUUUCUCUGAACAUUGGUUGGACAUUGCCCAUGUAACACUCCAACUCCUAUCACCUUAGCCCCAGAUGAUACCGAUGCGUCACCCAGUGUGUUGAGCAGUUGGCCAUGGUUGGGAGCCAGGGAGCAGCACGACAUGAGGGCACGACACUCAGGCAAGAACUUACUUUGCAGAGUUAGGUAAAUCUUAGGGCAAGCAGCUCGGAUUACUGAUGGCGUGGAUGGCCGCGAGGUACUUGAUCAACGGAUUAGAUGUGGAGUGGAGUCAAUGAAGGGAUGUGUAGCAGAUCAAGUGUGAAAGUUAGGGAAAUAGGUUAAGGGAAAGAUAUUGGACCGUCAACGCAAAUCGUGAUGUGGAUGGACGGUAUUAGCCAAGAAAUUGUUUACGAAGGCAAACAUUUGUAAUAGUUUCUGGUUCCCGUGGUAUCAGUAAAGGGGCACAAAAUCUCGAACCAAACUUUUUCUGUCUUGCUACUCACAAAAGUAGAAACAUUCUUCUUAGAAUCA